UACGUAGGGACCAAGCGUUGUUCGGAUUUACUGGGCGUAAAGGGCGCGUAGGCGGCGUGUUAAGUCACUUGUGAAAUCUCGGGGCUUAACUCCGAAACUGCAUUCGAUACUGCGGUGCUUGAGGACUGGAGAGGAGACUGGAAUUCAUGGUGUAGCAGUGAAAUGCGUAGAGAUCAUGAGGAAGACCAGUGGCGAAGGCGGGUCUCUGGACAGUUCCUGACACUGAGACACGAAGGCCAGGGGAGCAAACGGG
rnacentral:rRNA from 1 species